rnacentral:rRNA from 1 species
AACGAACGCUGGCGGCAGGCUUAACACAUGCAAGUCGAACGCGCCGCAAGGGGAGUGGCAGACGGGUGAGUAACGCGUGGGAACAUACCCUUUCCUGCGGAAUAGCUCUGGGAAACUGGAAUUAAUACCGCAUACGCCCUACGGGGGAAAGAUUUAUCGGGGAAGGAUUGGCCCGCGUUGGAUUAGCUAGUUGGUGGGGUAAAGGCCUACAAAGGCGACGAUCCAUAGCUGGUCUGAGAGGAUGAUCAGCCACAUUGGGACUGAGACACGGCCCAGACUCCUACGGGAGGCAGCAGUGGGGAAUAUUGGACGAUGGGCGCAAGCCUGAGCCAGCCUUGCCGCGUGAGUGAUGAAGGCCUUAGGGUUGUAAAGCUCUUUCACCGAUGAAGAUAAUGACGGUAGUCGGAGAAGAAGCCCCGGCUAACUUCGUGCCAGCCGCCGCGGUAAGAC